rnacentral:rRNA from 1 species
AUUGAACGCUGGCGGCAGGCCUAACACAUGCAAGUCGAGCGAGCGGCGGACGCGUGAGUAAUGCUUAGGUAUCUGCCUGGUCGUGGGGGAUAACGUUCGGUAACGGGCGCUAUUACCACAUACUAUCAGCAUAGCCUAGGGCGGAUUAGCUAGUUGGUGGGGUAAAGGCCUACAAAGGCGACGAUCCGUAACUGGUCUGAGAGGAUGACCAGCCACACUGGAACUGAGACACGGUCCAGACUCCUACGGGAGGCAGCAGUGGGGAAUAUGGCACAAUGGGCGCAAGCCUGAUGCAGCCAUGCCGCGUGUAUGAAGAAGGCCUUCGGGUUGUAAAGUACUUUCAGCGGGGAGGCGUUACCCGCAGAAGAAGCACCGGCUAACUCCGUGCCAGCAGCCGCGGUAAUAC